AGAACGAACGCUGGCGGCAGGCUUAACACAUGCAAGUCGAACGCUCCGCAAGGAGAGUGGCAGACGGGUGAGUAACGCGUGGGUAUCUACCCAUCUCUACGGAAUAGCUCCGGGAAACUGGAAUUAAUACCGUAUACGUCCUUAGGGAGAAAGAUUUAUCGGAGAUGGAUGAGCCCGCGUUGGAUUAGCUAGUUGGUGGGGUAAAGGCCUACCAAGGCGACGAUCCAUAGCUGGUCUGAGAGGAUGACCAGCCACAUUGGGACUGAGACACGGCCCAAACUCCUACGGGAGGCAGCAGUGGGGAAUAUUGGACAAUGGGCGAAAGCCUGAUGCAGCAACGCCGCGUGCGGGAAGAGGCCCUAGGGUUGUAACCGCUUUCAGCAGGGAAGAAGAUGACGGUACCUGUAGAAGAAGGUGCGGCCAACUACGUGCCAGCAGCCGC
rnacentral:rRNA from 1 species